rnacentral:rRNA from 1 species
UACGUAGGUGGCAAGCGUUGUUCGGAUUUACUGGGCGUACAGGGAGCGUAGGCGGUUGGAUAAGUCCUCCGUGAAAUCUCCAGGCUUAACCUGGAAAGUGCAGAGGGGACUGUUCAGCUAGAGGAUGGGAGAGGAGCGCGGAAUUCCCGGUGUAGCGGUGAAAUGCGUAGAUAUCUGGAGGAACACCGGUGGCGAAGGCGGCAUCCUGGACCGGCAUUGACGCUGAGGCGCGAAAGCUAGGGGAGCAAACGGG